UACAGAGGCCUCGAGCGUUAGGCGGAAUCACUGGGCUUAAAGCGUGUGUAGGCGGACUUCUAAGUACCUUGUGAAAUCCCACGGCUCAACCGUGGAACUGCUCGGUAUACUGGUUGUCUUGAGCCACCUAGGGGCGAGCGGAACAAGUGGUGGAGCGGUGAAAUGCGUAGAUAUCACUUGGAACGCCAACGGUGAAAACAGCUCGCUGGGGAUGUGCUGACGCUGAGACACGAAAGCCAGGGGAGCGAACGGG
rnacentral:rRNA from 1 species